CAACCUGAGCUCAGUCGUGAUUACCCGCCGAACUUAAGCAUAUCAUUCAG
rnacentral:rRNA from 1 species